AUUCUUGAUGAGGCUGAUAAACUUUUGGAGGAAAACUUUCAAGAUCAGAUCAAUUGGAUAUUUUCAACACUUCCUGAAAGCAAGCAAGUGUUGGCUUUGUCUGCAACCUAUCCAAACUAUCUUAACAAGCAUUUACAGAAAUAUAUGAGAAAUCCAACUUUUGUUUGUUUGAAUGCCAUGGACCCUGCACUAGAAGGGAUUCAUCAUUAUUUU